AUUGAACGCUGGCGGCAUGCCUUACACAUGCAAGUCGAACGGUAACGGGCCUUCGGGUGCCGACGAGUGGCGAACGGGUGAGUAAUACAUCGGAACGUGCCCGAUCGUGGGGGAUAACGAGGCGAAAGCUUUGCUAAUACCGCAUACGAUCUACGGAUGAAAGCAGGGGACCGCAAGGCCUUGCGCGGACGGAGCGGCCGAUGGCAGAUUAGGUAGUUGGUGGGAUAAAAGCUUACCAAGCCGACGAUCUGUAGCUGGUCUGAGAGGAUGAUCAGCCACACUGGGACUGAGACACGGCCCAGGCUCCUACGGGAGGCGGCAGUGGGGAAUUUUGGACAAUGGGCGCAAGCCUGAUCCAGCCAUGCCGCGUGCAGGAUGAAGGCCUUCGGGUUGUAAACUGCUUUUGUACGGAACGAAAAGCCUUCUUUUAAUACAGGAGGGUCAUGACGGUACCGUAAGAAUAAGCACCGGCUAACUACGUG
rnacentral:rRNA from 1 species